rnacentral:tRNA from 1 species
GAGGGUGAACAAUUAACCUGCUAACUUAGUAAUCCAAGCAUUAAAAGCCUGGCACCUUC